rnacentral:rRNA from 1 species
UCGAUUAGAGUUUGAUCCUGGCUCAGGAUGAACGCUGGCGGCGUGCCUAACACAUGCAAGUCGAACGUGAAGGGGCGUUUUCGGAUGCCGCUGAAAGUGGCGAACGGGUGAGUAACACGUAGAUAACCUGCCCUGGAGUGGGGGAUAACCACUGGAAACGGUGGCUAAUACCGCAUAGGCCCUUGAAGUCGGGAGGCUUCGAGGGGAAAGCUCCGGCGCUUCAGGAGGGGUCUGCGUCCGAUUAGCUAGUUGGCGGGGUAACGGCCCACCAAGGCGACGAUCGGUAGCUGGUCUGAGAGGACGAUCAGCCACACGGGAACUGAGACACGGUCCCGACUCCUACGGGGGGCAGCAGUGAGGAAUAUUGGGCAAUGGGCGAAAGCCUGAUCCAGCCAUGCCGCGUGCGGGAAGAAGGCCUUCGGGUUGUAAACCGCUUUCGGCCGGGACCAGGAUCGCCCGCAUGAACAGUGUGGGUGGAUGACGGUACUGGCAGAAGAAGCACCGGCUAAUUACGUGCAGCAGCCGCGGUAAUACGUAGGGUGCGAGCGUUAAUCGGAAUUACUGGGCGUAAAGCGUGCGCAGGCGGCCCUUUAAGUCAGGUGUGAAAGCCCCGGGCUUAACCUGGGAAUGGCGCUUGAGACUGGAGGGCUUGAGUGCGGCAGAGGGGGGUGGAAUUCCUGGUGUAGCGGUGAAAUGCGUAGAGAUCAGGAGGAACACCGAUGGCGAAGGCAGCCCCCAGGGCCGCGUCUGACGCUCAGGCACGAAAGCGUGGGGAGCAAACAGGAUUAGAUACCCUGGUAGUCCACGCCCUAAACGAUGUCGACUAGUUGUUGGGGGAGUUAGAUCCUUCGGUAACGCAGCUAACGCGUGAAGUCGGCCGCCUGGGGAGUACGGCCGCAAGGUUAAAACUCAAAGGAAUUGACGGGGACCCGCACAAGCGGUGGAUGAUGUGGUUUAAUUCGAUGCAACGCGAAGAAUCUUACCUACCCUGACAUGUGCCGAAUCCCCCGGAGACGGGGGAGUGCCCGCAAGGGAGCGGCAACACAGGUGCUGCAUGGCUGUCGUCAGCUCGUGUCGUGAGAUGUUGGGUUAAGUCCCGCAACGAGCGCAACCCUUGCCAUUAGUUGCCACGCGAGAGGUUGGGCACUCUAAUGGGACUGCCGGUGACAAACCGGAGGAAGGUGGGGAUGACGUCAAGUCCUCAUGGCCCUUAUGGGUAGGGCUACACACGUCAUACAAUGGCGCGUACAGAGGGUUGCGAAGGGGUGACCUGGAGCCAAUCCCAGAAAGCGCGUCGUAGUCCGGAUUGCAGUCUGCAACUCGACUGCAUGAAGUCGGAAUCGCUAGUAAUCGCGGAUCAGCAUGUCGCGGUGAAUACGUUCCCGGGUCUUGUACACACCGCCCGUCACACCAUGGGAGUGGACUGUACCAGAAGUGGCUGGCCUAACCCGUGAGGGAGGGCGGCCCCCACGGUAUGGUUCAUGACUGGGGUGAAGUCGUAACAAGGUAGCCGUAUCGGAAGGUGCGGCUGGAUCACCUCCUUAAUCGA